AUUGAACGCUGGCGGCAGGCCUAACACAUGCAAGUCGAGCGGAGCGGCGGACGGGGGCGUAAUGCCUAGGAAUCUGACUGGUCGUGAGGGAUAGCGUAAGGAAACGGGAGCGGAUGCCACAUACUAUCUGACGAGCCCAGGUCGGAUUAGCUAGUUGGUGGGGUAAAGGCUCAAAAAGGCGACGAUCCGUAACUGGUAGGAGAGGAGGAUCGGCCACACUGGAACUGAGACACGGUCCAGACUCCUACGGGAGGCAGCAGUGGGGAAUAUUGGACAAUGGGCGAAAGCCUGAUCCAGCCAUGCCGCGUGUGUGAAGAAGGUCUUCGGAUUGUAAAGUACUUUAAGUUGGGAGGCGUUACCAACAGAAUAAGCACCGGCUAACUUCGUGCCAGCAGCCGCGGUAAUAC
rnacentral:rRNA from 1 species